rnacentral:rRNA from 10 species
CCUGGUGGUUAUGGCGGAGCUGCUGCACCCGAUCCCAUUCCGAACUCGGCCGUGAAAAGCUCCAGCGCCAAUGGUACUUUGUCUUAAGGCACGGGAGAGUAGGUCGCUGCCAGGU